UGGGGAAUAUUGCACAAUGGGCGCAAGCCUGAUGCAGCCAUGCCGCGUGUGUGAAGAAGGCCUUCGGGUUGUAAAGCACUUUCAGCGGGGAGGAAGGCGAUAAGGUUAAUAACCUUGUCGAUUGACGUUACCCGCAGAAGAAGCACCGGCUAACUCCGUGCCAGCAGCCGCGGUAAUACGGAGGGUGCAAGCGUUAAUCGGAAUUACUGGGCGUAAAGCGCACGCAGGCGGUCUGUCAAGUCGGAUGUGAAAUCCCCGGGCUCAACCUGGGAACUGCAUUCGAAACUGGCAGGCUAGAGUCUUGUAGAGGGGGGUAGAAAUCCAGGUGUAGCGGUGAAAUGCGGAGAGAUCUGGAGGAAUACCGGUGGCGAAGGCGGCCCCCUGGACAAAGACUGACGCUCAGGUGCGAAAGCGUGGGGAGCAAACAGG
rnacentral:rRNA from 1 species